AUUGAACGCUGGCGGCAGGCCUAACACAUGCAAGUCGAACGGUAACAGGGAGCAGCUUGCUGCUUCGCUGACGAGUGGCGGACGGGUGAGUAAUGUCUGGGAAACUGCCUGAUGGAGGGGGAUAACUACUGGAAACGGUAGCUAAUACCGAAUAACGUCGUAAGACCAAAGAGGGGGGCCUUCGGGCCUCUUGCCAUCGGAUGUGCCCAGAUGGGAUUAGCUAGUAGGUGGGGUAACGGCUCACCUAGGCGACGAUCCCUAACUGGUCUGAGGGGAUGACCAGCCACACUGGAACUGAGACACGGUCCAGACUCCUACGGGAGGCAGCAGUGGGGAAUAUUGCACAAUGGGCGCAAGCCUGAUGCAGCCAUGCCGCGUGUAUGAAGAAGGCCUUCGGGUUGUAAAGUACUUUCAGCGGGGAGGAAGGCGGUGAGGUUAAUAACCUUGUCGAUUGACGUUACCCGCAGAAGAAGCACCGGCUAACUCCGUGCCAGCCGCCGCCGUAAGAC
rnacentral:rRNA from 1 species